rnacentral:rRNA from 1 species
UACGGAGGGGGCAAGCGUUGUUCGGAUUUACUGGGCGUAAAGGGUGUGUAGGCGGCUGGAUAAGUCUGGCGUGAAAUCUUCACCGCUUAACGGGAAGGGGUCGCUGGAAACUGUUCAGCUUGAGUAUGGUAGAGGCAAGCGGAAUUCCUGGUGUAGCGGUGGAAUGUGUAGAUACCAGGAGGAACACCGGUGGCGAAGGCGGUUUCCUGGCCGAGUACUGACGCUGAGGCACGAAAGCGUGGGGAGCGAACGGG